rnacentral:rRNA from 1 species
AGUGAACGCUGGCGGUAGGCCUAACACAUGCAAGUCGAACGGCAGCACAGUAAGAGCUUGCUCUUACGGGUGGCGAGUGGCGGACGGGUGAGGAAUACAUCGGAAUCUACUUUUUCGUGGGGGAUAACGUAGGGAAACUUACGCUAAUACCGCAUACGACCUACGGGUGAAAGCAGGGGAUCUUCGGACCUUGCGCGAUUGAAUGAGCCGAUGUCGGAUUAGCUAGUUGGCGGGGUAAAGGCCCACCAAGGCGACGAUCCGUAGCUGGUCUGAGAGGAUGAGAGGACAGAAGGGAAAAGAGACACGGUCAAGACUCAUACGGGAGGCAGCAGUAGGGAAUCUGGCGCAAUGGGCGAAAGCUUGAAGGAGCAACGACGCGGGAGAGAUGAGGGUCUGGGGAUCGUAAAGCUCUGUGAUGAGGAAAGAACAAAGGUGUAAGGAAAUAUGCACGUCGUGACGGUAACUAAUCAGAAAGACACGGCGAACUACGUG